rnacentral:rRNA from 1 species
UACGUAGGGCGCAAGCGUUGUCCGGAAUUACUGGGCGUAAAGAGCUCGUAGGUGGUUUGUCGCGUUGUUCGUGAAAACUCACAACUCAAUUGUGGGCGUGCGGGCGAUACGGGCAGACUGGAGUACUGCAGGGGAGACUGGAAUUCCUGGUGUAGCGGUGGAAUGCGCAGAUAUCAGGAGGAACACCGGUGGCGAAGGCGGGUCUCUGGGCAGUAACUGACGCUGAGGAGCGAAAGCGUGGGGAGCGAACAGG